GACGAACGCUGGCGGCGUGCCUAAUACAUGCAAGUAGAACGCUGAAGGAGGAGCUUGCUUCUCUGGAUGAGUUGCGAACGGGUGAGUAACGCGUAGGUAACCUGCCUGGUAGCGGGGGAUAACUAUUGGAAACGAUAGCUAAUACCGCAUAAGAGUAGAUGUUGCAUGACAUUUGCUUAAAAGGUGCAAUUGCAUCACUACCAGAUGGACCUGCGUUGUAUUAGCUAGUUGGUGAGGUAACGGCUCACCAAGGCGACGAUACAUAGCCGACCUGAGAGGGUGAUCGGCCACACUGGGACUGAGACACGGCCCAGACUCCUACGGGAGGCAGCAGUAGGGAAUCUUCGGCAAUGGACGGAAGUCUGACCGAGCAACGCCGCGUGAGUGAAGAAGGUUUUCGGAUCGUAAAGCUCUGUUGUAAGAGAAGAACGAGUGUGAGAGUGGAAAGUUCACACUGUGACGGUAUCUUAACAGAAAGGGACGGCUAACUACGUG
rnacentral:rRNA from 1 species